GUGCCAGCAGCCGCGGUAAUACGUAUGUCCCGAGCGUUAUCCGGAUUUAUUGGGCGUAAAGCGAGCGCAGACGGUUAAUUAAGUCUGAUGUGAAAGCCCGGAGCUCAACUCCGGAAAGGCAUUGGAAACUGGUUAACUUGAGUGCAGUAGAGGUAAGUGGAACUCCAUGUGUAGCGGUGGAAUGCGUAGAUAUAUGGAAGAACACCAGCGGCGAAGGCGGCUUACUGGACUGUAACUGACGUUGAGGCUCGAAAGUGUGGGUAGCAAACAGGAUUAGAUACCCUGGUAGUCCACACCGUAAACGAUGAACACUAGGUGUUAGGAGGUUUCCGCCUCUUAGUGCCGAAGCUAACGCAUUAAGUGUUCCGCCUGGGGAGUACGACCGCAAGGUUGAAACUCAAAGGAAUUGACGGGGACCCGCACAAGCGGUGGAGCAUUUGGUUUAAUUCGAAGCAACGCGAAGAACCUUACCAGGUCUUGACAUCCUUUGAAGCUUUUAGAGAUAGAAGUGUUCUCUUCGGAGACAAAGUGACAGGUGGUGCAUGGUCGUCGUCAGCUCGUGUCGUGAGAUGUUGGGUUAAGUCCCGCAACGAGCGCAACCCUUAUUGUUAGUUGCCAGCAUUCAGAUGGGCACUCUAGCGAGACUGCCGGUGACAAACCGGAGGAAGGCGGGGACGACGUCAGAUCAUCAUGCCCCUUAUGACCUGGGCUACACACGUGCUACAAUGGCGUAUACAACGAGUUGCCAACCUGUGAAGGUGAGCUAAUCUCUUAAAGUACGUCUCAGUUCGGACUGCAGUCUGCAACUCGACUGCACGAAGUCGGAAUCGCUAGUAAUCGCGGAUCAGCACGCCGCGGUGAAUACGUUCCCGGGUCUUGUACACACCGCCCGU
rnacentral:rRNA from 1 species